rnacentral:rRNA from 1 species
AAUAUUGCGCAAUGGGGGAAACCCUGACGCAGCAACGCCGCGUGUGGGAAGAAGGCCUUCGGGUCGUAAACCACUUUUACUCGGGACGAAAAAGGGAUAUCAAACAAAUAUCCCCGAUGACGGUACCGUGAGAAUAAGCCACGGCUAACUCUGUGCCAGCAGCCGCGGUAAGACAGAGGUGGCAAGCGUUGUUCGGAAUUACUGGGCGUAAAGAGUCUGUAGGUGGUUUGUCAAGUCUUUGGUGAAAGGCCGUAGCUUAACUAUGGGAAUGCCAAAGAGACUGGCAGGCUGGAGGCUGGGAGAGGGAAGCGGAAUUUCUGGUGUAGCGGUGAAAUGCGUAGAUAUCAGAAGGAAGGCCGGUGGCGAAGGCGGCUUCCUGGAACAGUCCUGACACUGAGAGACGAAAGCGUGGGGAGCAA